UACAGAGGUGGCAAGCGUUGUUCGGAAUUACUGGGCGGAAAGGGCGCGUAGGCGGCCUACUAAGUCAGACGUGAAAUCCCCCGGCUUAACCUGGGAACUGCGUCUGAUACUGGAAGGCUUGAGUAUGGGAGAGGGGUGUAGAAUUCCAGGUGUAGCGGUGAAAUGCGUAGAUAUCUGGAGGAAUACCGGUGGCGAAGGCGGCAUCCUGGACCAUUACUGACGCUGAGGCGCGAAAGCUAGGGGAGCAAACGGG
rnacentral:rRNA from 1 species